UACGUAGGGGGCAAGCGUUACUCGGAAUUACUGGGCGUAAAGCGUGCGUAGGUGGUUUGUUAAGUCUGCUGUGAAAUCCCCGGGCUCAACCUGGGAAUGGCAGUGGAUACUGGCAAGCUAGAGUGCGGUAGAGGGUAGUGGAAUUCCCGGUGUAGCGGUGAAAUGCGUAGAGAUCGGGAGGAACACCAGUGGCGAAGGCGGCUACCUGGACCAGCACUGACACUCAGGCACGAAAGCGUGGGGAGCAAACAGG
rnacentral:rRNA from 1 species